rnacentral:rRNA from 1 species
AUUGAACGCUGGCGGCAUGCCUUACACAUGCAAGUCGAACGGUAACAGGUCUUCGGAUGCUGACGAGUGGCGAACGGGUGAGUAAUACAUCGGAACGUGCCUAGUAGUGGGGGAUAACUACUCGAAUGAGUGGCUAAUACCGCAUGAGAUCUACGGAUGAAAGCAGGGGAUCGCAAGACCUUGUGCUACUAGAGCGGCCGAUGGCAGAUUAGGUAGUUGGUGGGAUAAAAGCUUACCAAGCCGACGAUCUGUAGCUGGUCUGAGAGGACGAUCAGCACAACUGGGACUGAGACACGGCCCAGACUCCUACGGGAGGAAGCAGUGGGGAAUUUUGGACAAUGGGCGAAAGCCUGAUCCAGCAAUGCCGCGUGCAGGAUGAAGGCCUUCGGGUUGUAAACUGCUUUUGUACGGAACGAAAAGCCCCGGGUUAAUACCCUGGGGUCAUGACGGUACCGUAAGAAUAAGCACCGGCUAACUACGUGCCAGCAGCCGCCGUAA